rnacentral:lncRNA from 1 species
CUUAUUAGUAUUUUAUGCACUCAAAAGUUCUGAAAAACAUAUAAAGAUAUUGGUAUUUUUCUGAAAAUCCAUAUCCAUCCUUAAAAUAACAAGAUGAACCCAAAAAAUACUCUAAAAACUUGUUUCUUUAGUUGGGAUUUCUGGUUUAAAAGCUGGUAGAUUUGGGUUGAUUUUUCUAGCUGGAUUUUCUGGUUUGCUCUACUGAUCCUGUUGUUCUGUUUGCUGUUCCUGCUUCUUUUCUUCCAAGAAAUUUAUUUUCUCUUUUCUUUUUCUAUUGUUGUUCAAGGUAUAUGUCUUAUUUUUUGUUUAUGUGUUUGUAAAUGGGAAGUUAAGGAUAAAUACAAGUUGUUUUUCUAUCAAAGAUGUAUGUUUAUAUUUUCAUGUUAUGAUGUGAAUUUAUCUACUAAUAUGCAACAACAUUGAAACUUUCUCUUUGAAAUGUGUGAUUCCCUGUUCUUUUAGCUUUUAUAUCAUGAGGAUCUUUUUCUUUGUAUAAAUGUUGAAGCAACAUGGUUAUCUGUCUAUUUCAGCUAGUAUACACUUCCUUUUUGUUAUUGUUGUUGUAUUUGUUAGGCAGCAUGCUAAAUCCCUGUAGUUGAAACCUUGUUUUGUCAUGAAUUUAACCUUCUAAUAUGUUCAGAUCCAUGGAUUACACUACCCCAUCUCUUUUGUUCAUUAUUGCAUUUGUUUGAGUAUGUUAGUCAAUAUAGUCUGCCUUUGGGUUUGAAGUUUUUAUUUGGUUUGUGAGUCUGACCUUUAACAUAGUCAAAACUAUGAAUACACUGCUUUUUUCACUUAUUUUUGCAUAGUUUACUUGAGUUUGGUUUGAUGAUACAGUAGGUCCAUGUAUCUGAAGACAUUUUGUGGGUCUAAUAUUUAACAUGGUCAGAUCCAUGAAAUUCUAAGUGGAAAUAAAAGCUAGUUUGGAAGUAAGAAACCUCAUGGUCGGACUUUGAAAGGUCAACUUGUGAGAAACAGCUCUGUAGCUGAUUUCUUGCAAGUUUGUUCUUUGGUUUGAAGGAUUUGAUGGAAGGAAUCUGAAACUAGAAGAAAUUUUCCUUUUAUUUACUUUAAAAUGUUUCUUCUCCUUUCUUUUAGAUGUUAGUUAUAAUGGAUUGUUAGAAUGAUGGGUUGUAAAGUUAAAAAUCUUCCUUCUACAAAUUCAGGGACAUUUAUUAGUGCAGGACUGUUGGAAUGCAUUGAUUUUAAAAUUUAGGUCCAUAGCAUGAGAUCUCUUUGUAAAAGUUAUUAGCGUAUUUAUUUGCAAAAGUGUUUGAAUGUAAAAUGAGUUGGCCAGACUUGCAACAAGACCCAACAUGGGGAAUCACUUGAGCAAGUAUGGGUCUGGGCGUUUUACCCAGUAGAGUGAUGUCUAAUUGCAAAGUUUUCCUUGAAG